rnacentral:misc_RNA from 1 species
GUCAAUCAUUCAUCAGUUGGACAGGAGACGGAUGGGAGUUCAAGCUGGCAGACCCUGAUGAGGUAUGGCCACUUGCACACUCAACCCCAGUUCAUCACCGUGGGCUCUAAAGCCAACCCUGGGCACAAGGAAUGUCAGCAGAGCCAGCGAGAACMCUCCCYCGACCAGGAGUCCCUGGCUCUGGGGAUAGCUGARCUGAAGCCACGGCCUUGUUGAUGCACGGGCCUGGUGUCCUUUGGGCAGUGCCCUCCCUCCAUGGACAUUGUCUGUUGGAGGCUGGUUACCUUCAGCAAGUUCUGGAGGGAGUUCCCCUUUGUCCCAAGUUGGACAGGGCACAUAGCAGCCAGGCAGCCUUCAGGGCUGGCCCUGGGGCYCUCUGCGGGAGACAGCUUUGGUAGGCAUGAUGCCAGCGAUAUAAGUAAUGUAAUCUGUCGCCCUCUCYGCRUCUAGGGAAAUAAGCAUGUGUCUCAUGGGCCAGGRUAGGCGCAUCAGCUGUCACAUGACUCGAAGUGUGUCUCAGUUGGCAGAGUGGCUGCCUAGCUUGCUCACAGCCGCGGCUUCCAUCCCCAGCCCCACAAAAACCAGGUGUGAURGYGCAUGCCUGUCUGUAGUCAGAGCGUGGAAGUGGAGGCUGGAGGAUGAGUGGCCAGUCUGGGAUACACGAGCCUCUGGCGUUUUAAARGGGGGUGGGGGUGGGAAUAAGAAUUAUGACUGACAGCUUGUGUCUCUGUGUGAGGGACCCCUGGUUCCAAAUGGCUGGCCCAGGAGGCUUUGCUGAGAUGGAGCUGGGGGCAGAGACAGGGUCAUCACUGGCCCCUGUCCGGUGAAGUGUCUGUSCACAUUUAAAGGGACCCAGACAAGUCCCUGUGACCUAGGRUCUCUARGGUGAGCAUYCAUGGCCAGGGGAGCCAGUCACGGCUCAAGAGUGGACACCGGUGACUCUGGCCUUUCUGUGUCUUCCCAAAGGUGGCUCGCCGGUGGGAAA